GAUGAACGCUGGCGGCGUGCCUAAUACAUGCAAGUCGAGCGAACAGAUGAGGAGCUUGCUCCUCUGACGUUAGCGGCGGACGGGUGAGUAAAACGUGGAUAACCUACCUAUAAGACUGGGAUAAAUUCGGGAAACCGGAGCUAAUACCGGAUAAUAUAUUGAACCGCAUGGUUCAAUAGUGAAAGACGGUUUUGCUGUCACUUAUAGAUGGAUCCGCGCCGCAUUAGCUAGUUGGUAAGGUAACGGCUUACCAAGGCAACGAUGCGUAGCCGACCUGAGAGGGUGAUCGGCCACACUGGAACUGAGACACGGUCCAGACUCCUACGGGAGGCAGCAGUAGGGAAUCUUCCGCAAUGGGCGAAAGCCUGACGGAGCAACGCCGCGUGAGUGAUGAAGGUCUUCGGAUCGUAAAACUCUGUUAUUAGGGAAGAACAAAUGUGUAAGUAACGAUGCACGUCUUGACGGUACCUAAUCAGAAAGCCACGGCUAACUACGU
rnacentral:rRNA from 1 species